GAUGAACGCUAGCGGCAGGCUUAAUACAUGCAAGUCGAGGGGUAGCAAGAUUGUAGCAAUACAAUUGUUGACGACCGGCAAACGGGUGCGGAACACGUACACAACCUUCCUACAAGUGGGGAAUAGCCCAGAGAAAUUUGGAUUAAUACCCCGUAACAUAGCGAUGUGGCAUCACACUGCUAUUAUAGCUUCGGCGCUUGUUGAUGGGUGUGCGGCUGAUUAGAUAGUUGGCGGGGUAACGGCCCGGCAAGUCUACGAUCAGUAGCUGAUGUGAGAGCAUGAUCAGCCACACGGGCACUGAGACACGGGCCCGACUCCUACGGGAGGCAGCAGUAAGGAAUAUUGGACAAUGGACGCAAGUCUGAUCCAGCCAUGCCGCGUGAAGGAUUAAGGUCCUCUGGAUUGUAAACUUCUUUUAUAAGGGACGAAAAAAGGUCUUUCUAGAUCGUCUGACGGUACCUUAUGAAUAAGCACCGGCUAACUCCGUGCCAGCAGCCGCAGUAAAAC
rnacentral:rRNA from 1 species